UCUUCCUUAUCUUCUUCUUCUUCGUCUUCUUCUUCUUCUUCUUCUUCUUCUUCUUCUUCUUCUUCUUCUUCUUCGUUUUCUUCUUCUUCUUCUUCUUCUUCUUCUUCUUCUUCUUCCUUCUUUUCCUUUUUCCCCCUUCUUAUUCUUCUUCUUCUUCCUUCUUUUCCAUUUUCCUCUUCUUUCUUCUUCUCCUCUCUCCUCUUUUUCUUAUUCUUCUUC
rnacentral:lncRNA from 1 species